GAGGGUUUGGCUCAAGGGUAGAGUGCAUGCCUAGCAUGCACAAAGUCCUGGGUUCAAUCCCCAGUACCUCG
rnacentral:tRNA from 1 species